rnacentral:rRNA from 1 species
UCCGGGCAGGCUUAACCUUGCCAAGUCGAGGCGGUAGCACAGGGGAGCUUGCUCCCCGGGUGACGAGCGGCGCGCACGGGUGAGUAAUGUCUGGGAAACUGCCUGAUGGAGGGGGAUAACUACUGGAAACGGUAGCUAAUACCGCAUAACGUCGCAAGACCAAAGAGGGGGACCUUCGGGCCUCUUGCCAUCAGAUGUGCCCAGAUGGGAUUAGCUAGUAGGUGGGGUAAUGGCUCACCUAGGCGACGAUCCCUAGCUGGUCUGAGAGGAUGACCAGCCACACUGGAACUGAGACACGGUCCAGACUCCUACGGGAGGCAGCAGUGGGGAAUAUUGCACAAUGGGCGCAAGCCUGAUGCAGCCAUGCCGCGUGUGUGAAGAAGGCCUUCGGGUUGUAAAGCACUUUCAGCGAGGAGGAAGGUGGUGAACUUAAUACGUUCAUCAAUUGACGUUACUCGCAGAAGAAGCACCGGCUAACUCCGUGCCAGCAGCCGCGGUAAUACGGAGGGUGCAAGCGUUAAUCGGAAUUACUGGGGCGUAAAAGCGCACGCAGGCGGUUUGUUAAGUCCAGAUGUGAAAAUCCCCGGGGCUCAAACCUUGGGGAACUGCAUUUGAAACUGGCAAGCUAGAGUCUCGUAAGAGGGGGGGUAGAAUUCCAGGUGUACCGGUGAAAUGGCGUAGAGGAUCUUGGA